UGCCUCAGUAACGGCGAGUGAAGCGGCAACAGCUCAAAUUUGAAAUCUGGCCCUCGGGCUCGAGUUGUAAUUUGCAGAGGAUGCUUCGGGUGCGACUCCAGGCCAAGUUCCUUGGAACAGGAGGUCAUAGAGGGUGAAAAUCCCGUACUUGCCUGGCGGUCUAGCCCAUGUGUAGCUCCUUCGACGAGUCGAGUUGUUUGGGAAUGCAGCUCUAAUUGGGAGGUAAAUUUCUUCUAAAGCUAAAUACCGGCCAGAGACCGAUAGCGCACAAGUAGAGUGAUCGAAAGAUGAAAAGCACUUUGGAAAGAGAGUUAAACAGCACGUGAAAUUGUUGAAAGGGAAGCGCUUGCAAUCAGACUUGCCUGCUGGUGAUCAGCUGUCCUUCGGGCCGGUGCACUCACCUGCAGUCAGGCCAGCAUCAGUUCUGACGGUUGGAUAACGGCAAUGGGAAUGUAGCUCCUUUCGGGGAGUGUUAUAGUCCGUUGUGCAAUGCAAUCUGUUGGGACUGAGGACCACGCUUCGGCACGGAUGCUGGCGUAAUGGUUGUCAGCGGCCCGUCUUGAAACACGGACCAAGGAGUCGAUCAUCUAUACGAGUGUUUGGGCUGCAAACCCAUGCGCGGAAUGAAAGUGAACGGAGGUGGGAGCUUUCGGGCGCACCAUCGACCGAUCCUGAAAUUUAUGGAUGGAUUUGAGUAAUAGUAUAGCUGAUCGGACGUAAGCUGACCCCCCUAACGUCCCUGUCUCUUUAAGCUUAACUAACGAACUUCACAGCCGAAAGAUGGUGAACUAUGCCUGAAUAGGGUGAAGCCAGAGGAAACUCUGGUGGAGGCUCGCAGCGGUUCUGACGUGCAAAUCGAUCGUCAAUUUGGGUAUAGGGGCGAAAGACUAAUCGAACCAUCUAGUAGCUGGUUGCUGC
rnacentral:rRNA from 1 species